UCGUUCCGUGUGACCCGGAACGGUCGUUCCGUAUGACCCGGAACGGUCGUUCCGUAUGACCCGGAACGGUCGUUCCGUAUGACCCGGAACGGUC
rnacentral:tRNA from 1 species